rnacentral:rRNA from 1 species
UACGGGGGGGGCAAGCGUUGUUCGGAAUUACUGGGCGUAAAGGGCGCGUAGGCGGCCUGCUAAGUCGGAUGUGAAAUCUCCGGGCUUAACUCGGAACGGUCAAGUGAUACUGUCGGACUAGAGUACAGAAGGGGCAACUGGAAUUCCCGGUGUAGCGGUGAAAUGCGUAGAUAUCGAGAGGAACACCUGCGGCGAAGGCGGGUUGCUGGGCUGAUACUGACGCUGAGGCGCGAAAGCCAGGGGAGCGAACGGG